UACGGAGGGGGGUUAGCGUUGUUCGGAAUGACUGGGCGUAAAGCGCGCGUAGGCGGAUCAGGAAGUUGGGGGUGAAAUCCCGGGGCUCAACCCCGGAAUGGCCUUCAAAACUCCUGGUCUUGAGUUCGAGAGAGGUGAGUGGAAUUCCGAGUGUAGAGGUGAAAUUCGUAGAUAUUCGGAGGAACACCAGUGGCGAAGGCGGCUCACUGGCUCGACACUGACGCUGAGGUGCGAAAGCGUGGGGAGCAA
rnacentral:rRNA from 1 species